CCGAUGAGCGCAGGGCUCUGCCCCGCAGCUGGCGGCCGCGGCGCGGGGACCGCAGCUCCGCCCUCGUCCCAUUCCACUGGACGAAGCUGUGCAGCGAGCUGCGGUGGGGCCACAUGGCAGAGAGGGAGGAGGGGCAGGAUCAGGGCUCCCCUCCUGGGCCGGGAAGGCUCCGCACCCCGGCAAGUCCCGCGGUCCCAGCCCUGCCCGCCUCGCCCCUGGGGAGACUCACUGUGGUUCAGGGGGUGCCCGCUGGUCUCCGCCGACGCCACCAGCUCCAGGCCUUGAAGUUAGGAGCAAUCUGCUUUGGCGCUCUAGAAGUUUCCUGUAACAGAUUUCCCUACCUGGUGUGAGAGAGAGACUUUACAAAAGAAUAACUUUUCUAUAACUGACGCUCUGAACAAAGGACUGAAUGACCCAUCCAAGCUGUGGAUGUGUUCCAGAGUGAUUUUCAAGCCAGCCAACUCACCAACACUGCUAAGAACCUGAUACAACAUGGACUUUGUA